rnacentral:rRNA from 1 species
UUCUGAAAAUUUGACCUCGGAUCA